GAUGCAGUCUCCCUGUGUUGCCCAGACUGGUCUUGAACUCCUGAGCUCUAGUGGUCCUCCUGCCUUAGCCUCCCACAGUGUUGGGAUUACAGGCAUGAGCCAUCCCACUGGGCCUGGAAAUGGGUUUUGAUGAAAGCAGUUUGAAUGCUCUCCAAGUGUGAAGUGAAGGCCUUGUCUCUAAAUUGUCUCAUACUCCAGAACCACAUCCAGUUUACACGUUCUGUCACAUUGUAGUGGGGAAGGCUGAGGUACCACAUCACAAGGAAACUCAGGAGCAAUAGCAGCGAGACUCCAAGCAUGCGAGCUGCAAGUUCUUCCUCUUGAUUAAUUUCUUGUCAAUGAAAAGACUUUCAGUUUCACCACCUGAGCAUUUAGGAAUAUGUAGUCUUCAAAAAUAAUGCUACCAAAAAAACAGAGAAUUUCAGAUUGCCUUAAAAUUCUGCCAUAUACUGCUUAUAAAACACAUACCUGUACAAUUUCAGAUGAGAUUAAGGCACUAGCUAAAGUUUUUUGUUUUCUGUAUUCCAUGCUUUAAGUAAAACACUCAGAUUUGCAGUGAACACUAUGAAAACAGAAAAAAAAAAAAAGACAUGGUUUGAUAAUGUCUCUUAUGGUAGCUUUUC